CAGCAGUAGCCGCGGGAAAACGUAGGUGGUAAGCGUUGUCCGGAAUUAUUGGGCGUAAAGGGCUCGCAGGCGGUUUCUUAAGUCUGAUGUGAAAGCCCCCGGCUCAACCGGGGAGAGUCAUUGGAAACUGGGAAACUUGAGUGCAGAAGAGGAGAGUGGAAUUCCACGUGUAGCGGUGAAAUGCGUAGAGAUGUGGAGGAACACCAGUGGCGAAGGCGACUCUCUGGUCUGUAACUGACGCUGAGGAGCGAAAGCGUGGGGAGCGAACAGGAUUAGAUACCCCUGUAGUCCCUGUCUCUUAUAC
rnacentral:rRNA from 1 species